UACGUAGGUGGCAAGCGUUGUCCGGAAUUAUUGGGCGUAAAGCGCGCGCAGGCGGUCCUUUAAGUCUGAUGUGAAAGCCCACGGCUCAACCGUGGAGGGUCAUUGGAAACUGGGGGACUUGAGUGCAGGAGAGAAGAGUGGAAUUCCACGUGUAGCGGUGAAAUGCGUAGAUAUCUGGAGGAACACCCGUGGCGAAGGCGGCUCUCUGGUCCGAAACUGACGCUGAGGUGCGAAAGCUAGGGUAGCAAACAGG
rnacentral:rRNA from 1 species